rnacentral:rRNA from 1 species
AGUGAACGCUGGCGGUAGGCCUAACACAUGCAAGUCGAACGGCAGCACAGAGGAGCUUGCUCCUUGGGUGGCGAGUGGCGGACGGGUGAGGAAUACAUCGGAAUCUACUCUGUCGUGGGGGAUAACGUAGGGAAACUUACGCUAAUACCGCAUACGACCUACGGGUGAAAGCAGGGGACCUUCGGGACUUGCGCGAAUGAAUGAGCCGAUGUCGGGUUAGCUAGUUGGCGGGGUAGAGUCCCACCAAGGCGACGCUCCGUAGCUGGUCUGAGAGGAUGAUCAGCCACUCUGGAACUGAGACACGGUCCAGACUCCUACAGGAGGCAGCAGUGGGGAAUAUUGGACAAUGGGCGCAAGCCUGAUCCAGCCGUACCGCGUGGGUGAAGAAGGCCUUCGGGUUGUAAAGCCCUUUUGUUGGGAAAGAAAUCCAGCUGGCUAAUACCCGGUUGGGAUGACGGUACCCAAAGAAUAAGCACCGGCUAACUUCGUGCCAGCCGCCGCCGUAA